ACGACCGUACCGCAAACCGACACUGGUGCGCGAGAUGAGUAUUCUAAGGCGCUUGAGAGAACUCUGGAGAAGGAACUCGGCAAAUUGACACCGUAACUUCGGAAGAAGGUGUGCCUUUAGUAGGUGAAGUCCCUCGCGGGUGGAGCCCAAUGAGGUUGCAAAAAAUCGGUGGCUGCGACUGUUUAAUAAAAACACAGCACUCUGCAAAGACGAAAGUCGACGUAUAGGGUGUGACGCCUGCCCGGUGCUGGAAGAUUAAAUGAUGGGGUGCAAGCUCUUGAUUGAAGUCCCAGUAAACGGCGGCCGUAACUAUAACGGUCCUAAGGUAGCGAAAUUCCUUGUCGGGUAAGUUCCGACCUGCACGAAUGGCGUAACGAUGGCCACACUGUCUCCUCCAGAGACUCAGCAAGUUGAAAUGUUUGUGAUGAUGCAAUCUCCCCGCGGAAAGACGGAAAGACCCCAUGAACCUUUACUGUAGCUUUGUAUUGGACUUUGAACAGAUCUGUGUAGGAUAGGUGGUAGGCUUUGAAGCAGGGUCGCUAGAUCUUGUGGAGCCAACGUUGAAAUACCACCCUGGUGUGUUUGAGGUUCUAACCUAGGUCCAUUAGCUGGAUCGGGGACAGUGCAUGGUAGGCAGUUUGACUGGGGCGGUCUCCUCCCAAAGCGUAACGGAGGAGUUCGAAGGUACGCUAGGUACGGUCGGACAUCGUGCUAAUAGUGCAAUGGCAUAAGCGUGCUUAACUGCGAGACUGACAAGUCGAGCAGAUGCGAAAGCAGGACAUAGUGAUCCGGUGGUUCUGUAUGGAAGGGCCAUCGCUCAACGGAUAAAAGGUACUCUGGGGAUAACAGGCUGAUACCGCCCAAGAGUUCAUAUCGACGGCGGUGUUUGGCACCUCGAUGUCGGCUCAUCUCAUCCUGGGGCUGUAGCCGGUCCCAAGGGUAUGGCUGUUCGCCAUUUAAAGAGGUACGUGAGCUGGGUUUAAAACGUCGUGAGACAGUUUGGUCCCUAUCUUCCGUGGGCGCUGCAGAUUUGAGGAAGCCUGCUCCUAGUACGAGAGGACCGGAGUGGACACACCUCUGGUGUAUCGGUUGUCACGCCAGUGGCAUUGCCGAGUAGCUAAGUGUGGAAGAGAUAACCGCUGAAAGCAUCUAAGCGGGAAACUCGUUUCAAGAUGAGAUCUGCCGGGGCCUUGAGCCCCCUAAAGAUUCGUUCAAGACCAGGACGUUGAUAGGUCAGGUGUGGAAGCGCAGUAAUGCGUUAAGCUAACUGAUACUAAUUGCUCGUGCGACUUGACCU
rnacentral:rRNA from 1 species